rnacentral:rRNA from 1 species
GACGUAGGGUGCGAGCGUUGUCCGGAUUUAUUGGGCGUAAAGAGCUCGUAGGCGGCUCGUCGCGUCGACCGUGAAAACCCACAGCUUAACUGUGGGCUUGCGGUUGAUACGGGCGGGCUAGAGUUCGGUAGGGGAGACUGGAAUUCCUGGUGUAGCGGUGAAAUGCGCAGAUAUCAGGAGGAACACCGGUGGCGAAGGCGGCAUCCUGGACCGGCAUUGACGCUGAGGCGCGAAAGCCAGGGGAGCAAACGGG